UACGUAGGGACCAAGCGUUGUUCGGAUUUACUGGGCGUAAAGGGCACUGGUAGGCGGCUUGACAAGUCACUUGUGAAAUCUCCGGGCUUAACUCGGAACGGCCAAGUGAAACUGUCAUGCUAGAGUGCAGAAGGGGCAAUCGGAAUUCUUGGUGUAGCGGUGAAAUGCGUAGAUAUCAAGAGGAACACCUGAGGUGAAGACGGGUUGCUGGGCUGACACUGACGCUGAGGCGCGAAAGCCAGGGGAGCAAACGGG
rnacentral:rRNA from 1 species